GGAUCCACUGAGUGGGCCACUGAUAGCACUGUCUGGGAGAGAGAGGGUUAAGGGAGACUGUCUUGGCUUCCUUUCUGCAUCAAGGAUAUUACUAGAUGAACCAGAGGUAGUGCUGGCACAGGAGGAGUUCAUCAUAGUUUUCUCAGGUCAACCGAUAUGCACGUGUAUUUGCCAUGGCAGGAAGCCCUCAACUGCAGACUUGUGUGGCCUCUCUAGGAGCCUACGUUUGAUGGGGAGUGUGAUGAGGGUUUCAGCAAGGCAGCUUGGAUAACCCAAGCCAGGUGGAGACAAAGGAGCAGCUGCCUCAGAUGAAACUCUCAGAAGCUGUGAGAAUGGCUGUCUGCCCGGAAGCCUGCCCUACCUCACUCAGUGCAGCCAACUCCCCUGCCUGCAGGAAACUGGACAGGAUGGGGGAAAACCUGAGUUAGCUGAGCUAGUCCUGGGGUACAGGGUGCCUAUGAGAGCCUACAGGGACGAUGACAUCAGAACAGUGACAUCACAGUAAAACCCUCCAAAAACGGUGGGGAGGAGCAAAAGUCCUGCUUUCUCACCCUAGGAGACCAGCACCCUGAGUAGGGAAAUGCCUAGUCCUGUCCUGCCUGACUCUACCAGGGACACCAGGCUCCUCUGCUGUGUCAUGCUUUGUCUCCUGGGAACAGGUUCAGUGGCUGCUGGAGUCAUCCAGCACCCAAGACACCUGAUCAAAGAAAAGAGGGAAACAGCCAAUCUGAAAUGCUAUCCUAUCCCUGGACAUGACACUGUGUACUGGUACCAGCAGGGUCCAGGUCAGGGCCUCCAGUUCCUCAUUUCAUAUUAUGAAAAGAUGCAAAGUGAUAAAGGAAGCAUCCCCGAUCGAUUCACAGCUCGACAGUUCAGUGACUAUCAUUCUGAACUGAACAUAAGCUCCUUGGAUCUGGGGGACUCAGCCCUGUACCUCUGUGCCAGCAGCUUAGGCACAGCCCUGCAGAGUUACUGGCUUUCUGUACCCAAACCUUCCUGUCUCAGCUGGGGAUGCAAAUAGGAAGAAGAAGGUAGGGGCUGCCACACAGCGUUAGCCAAGCCCCAGGGAUGCUUCUAGUUCUUUUCUAACAUUUUUCCCUGCCCUGCUGAGCUCAUGAGAGCUCCUGCA